rnacentral:rRNA from 1 species
GUUUGAAGAUGAGCCCGCGUACCAUUAGCUUGUUGGUGGGGUAAAGGCCUACCAAGGCUUCGAUGGUUAGCUGGUCUGAGAGGAUGAUCAGCCACACUGGAACUGACACACGGUCCAG